CACAUCUAGCCUACAAAAACAAAGUAUCUUGCUCCUCGAAAGGCAAGAUUGAUUAUUAUAACUGUGGAUGAAAGGGGCCACAUGCUGACCUGACAAGGUCAGGGAGGCCUGCAUGACAGUCUCGCAAACUCAGAGACCUAAAGUAACCACAAAGGAUGGUCUGAAAUUAAACUUUAACUAAAAGCAAUUAUGGUGGGUGGUCACCUCCUAGGCCGGUAUCUUCACUGACAAGGUCAACCUUUACCUUAACUGAGCCUACCUGUCUUUUUGCAUCUAUGAUAGCAUACCCUUGAAAUGUCUGGGUAACUUGUAACUUCUCUUUUUCCAGACCCCUUGGGACAUAACCUAAUGUACCUGGGCACCAGGACAGACACCACAAAUUCCUCCAUUGUGAAGUAUGGUAGCAAUCAUCUCGGAAAGCAAAUCCUCUGUACCUGGGAACCAGGACAGCACAAUUAUCCCAAGACCUGAGGGUUCCAGAUAAUGUUUCCCUGUCAACUCAGUGGUCCUAAGACCCGAGGGCUCUAGGUAAUGUGUUUCUGUCAACUCAGUGUUCCAAAGACCCAAAACUAUAAUUAAUCUUUGUAGAUAACUAAUCGGCUCAAUCUCGAUUCUGUAACUGCUUUGUGCAAACCAGGGUUCUCAUUCCAAACCCUGGGAUAUAAUCAAUACCUUUGUGAUUUUUGCCUAUAUAAGUCUGGUGUUUCAGCCAUCUUAUCACUAUGAGAUUUGGGAGAGCAAGAUGCCGCCUCAUAGUCCUAGAUUUGCAAUAAAUAUGACUCCUUAAUUCG